AGACCAUGAUGAGGGUAUUUCCUCAAUAGCUUCUUGAAUCUUUCCUAAGUUUCAUAUAAGGAUUCCCCGUCCUCUUGUGAAUAUUCUGUCAUUAAUUUAGCGGUUU
rnacentral:snoRNA from 1 species